UACGGAGGAUGCAAGCGUUAUCCGGAUUCAUUGGGUUUAAAGGGUGCGCAGGCGGAACUAUAAGUCAGUGGUGAAAGCCUACAGCUCAACUGUAGAAUUGCCAUUGAUACUGUAGUUCUUGAGUAUAUUUGGAGUGGGCGGAAUGUAUCAUGUAGCGGUGAAAUGCUUAGAUAUGAUACAGAACACCAAUCGCGAAGGCAGCUCACUAAACUAUAACUGACGCUCAUGCACGAAAGCGUGGGGAUCAAACAGG
rnacentral:rRNA from 1 species